CCAAAUAUUACAAAUAAUUCAAAAGAGGUUACACGAUUAGUCAAAAAGUUACAUAAUCCAAACUCCAAAUAAUCCAAAUUUACACAAAAAUCCAAAGGAGCACUUGAUUAAUUUACAUGUUACAAAAAUUAUCCAAAGUUAUGGAAAUAAUUGAACAAGAUGUAAAAAUCCAUUGGUUUGAAGUAGUCUUCAGAGACUUUUUCCAAAGUCAGGGGUUUGUAGUUCCAG
rnacentral:lncRNA from 1 species